GACGAACGCUGGCGGCGUGCCUAAUACAUGCAAGUAGAACGCACAGUUUAUACCGUAGCUUGCUACACCAUAAACUGUGAGUUGCGAACGGGUGAGUAACGCGUAGGUAACCUGCCUGGUAGCGGGGGAUAACUAUUGGAAACGAUAGCUAAUACCGCAUAAUAUUGAUUAUUGCAUGAUAAUUGAUUGAAAGCUGCUAUUGCAUCACUACCAGAUGGACCUGCGUUGUAUUAGCUAGUAGGUGAGGUAACGGCUCACCUAGGCGACGAUACAUAGCCGACCUGAGAGGGUGAUCGGCCACACUGGGACUGAGACACGGCCCAGACUCCUACGGGAGGCAGCAGUAGGGAAUCUUCGGCAAUGGACGAAAGUCUGACCGAGCAACGCCGCGUGAGUGAAGAAGGUUUUCGGAUCGUAAAGCUCUGUUGUAAGAGAAGAACGGGUGUGAGAGUGGAAAGUUCACACUGUGACGGUAUCUUACCAGAAAGGGACGGCUAACUACGUG
rnacentral:rRNA from 1 species